CUGAAAGGGAAACUUGGCUAAAUUUCCCACUCUGCUGAAGAAGUAGUGCAUUAUGCUAUUUGAAACUGUGGAAGAAAGCAACAAUAAAGCACAUG